rnacentral:rRNA from 1 species
CAUGCAAGUCGAGCGGAAGGCCCUUCGGGGUACUCGAGCGGCGAACGGGUGAGUAACACGUGAGCAACCUGCCCUAGGCUUUGGGAUAACCCUCGGAAACGGGGGCUAAUACCGAAUACAACCUUUGGUCGCAUGACUGGGGGUGGAAAGUUUUUCGGCCUGGGAUGGGCUCGCGGCCUAUCAGCUUGUUGGUGGGGUGAUGGCCUACCAAGGCGACGACGGGUAGCCGGCCUGAGAGGGCGACCGGCCACACUGGGACUGAGACACGGCCCAGACUCCUACGGGAGGCAGCAGUGGGGAAUAUUGCACAAUGGGCGGAAGCCUGAUGCAGCGACGCCGCGUGAGGGAUGACGGCCUUCGGGUUGUAAACCUCUUUCAGCAGGGACGAAGCGCAAGUGACGGUACCUGCAGAAGAAGCACCGGCCAACUACGUGCCAGCAGCCGCGGUAAGACGUAGGGUGCGAGCGUUGUCCGGAUUUAUUGGGCGUAAAGAGCUCGUAGGCGGCUUGUCGCGUCGACCGUGAAAACUUGGGGCUCAACCCCAAGCCUGCGGUCGAUACGGGCAGGCUAGAGUUCGGUAGGGGAGACUGGAAUUCCUGGUGUAGCGGUGAAAUGCGCAGAUAUCAGGAGGAACACCGGUGGCGAAGGCGGGUCUCUGGGCCGAUACUGACGCUGAGGAGCGAAAGCGUGGGGAGCGAACAGGAUUAGAUACCCUGGUAGUCCACGCUGUAAACGUUGGGCGCUAGGUGUGGGGGGCCUCUCCGGUUCCCUGUGCCGCAGCUAACGCAUUAAGCGCCCCGCCUGGGGAGUACGGCCGCA